UCUCUUUUCCCUCUCCUUUCUUUCUUCAAACCGAAGACACACAACACACACACACAUUUCAUCCAUCUCUUUCAAAUAAACUCUCUCUAGAGAAGUUCCUUCUUCUCCAUAAAUUUUCAAAGAUCUAAGGACGAUCAAGGAGAUUUCCACCAAAAACUCACCCCUUCCUUGGUAAUUCCUUACACAUCUAAGUUGUAUAACUUCAUCCUUGUGUUAAGAUCAUUCAUUCUAAGCAUUUUUGUGAUCAUACUCUUAGAAAACCUCCAUAAGUUCGAGAUCAACCCAAGAAAGCUUGCUAGGGCCGAAAAUAACAUCAAACUCUUCCAUUUCUUUCUUCAAACUGAAACAACAAGCAAAGGUGAGUUCAUACCCCUCUACUUUCGGUUUUCACAAGUUUUAUGGGGGAGAAUACAAGUAAAAUGUGUAGAUCUAUGUGUAUGUGUAUGUUAUGUGUGAUUUCAUGUGUUUAUGUGGUAAAUAUGUGCCAAAAAUGAAAGAAAUCUCGAGAUCUAUGGCUCAAGGAGGUAAGUAUACGUGAUCUAGGAUGUAUUACAUUAAACAAGUCAAGAAAAAUUAUCAUCUAAGGUUAUAAUAAACAUGUUACAACAUAAAACUCAUUUUUGGGAUAUUUUUGUCAAAUAAACAAAAGUUGGGUUAAAGGUUGUCAUUCACGGUUUUUAUAAGGACCAAAAGGGUCAAAACAGUUAAAAUAAAAGUUUUUAUGAAUAUUAUGCUAUUCAAAGGACUAGAAAUGUAAAUUGUGGUCUAUUGGGCCAAAUUUUGGGCUUUUCGGCCCAUAGGCCCAAAUUUGCGAAAAAAUGAGUUUUUAGGGAUUGAAAUGGUAAAUUUCUCAAAACAGUGUGUAAAAAGGUAAAUAAAUCUAUUUCAGGAGUUAAAAUGACCUUUUUUUGCGAAAAAGGAUCAAAAAUGCAAAGUUUUGGAUUUUGGGUCAAAUUUGUAAAAGUUGUGAAAAGUUUGGACUAUAAAUGAAAAUCUUUAAUAAAGGGGCUGAAACUGCCGAAAAGUAAACUUGGGGCUGAAAACGUCUUUUAAAUAAGUCUUUGGGUCAAAAUAUCAAGAAAAAUAGUUUGAGGACCUAAAAUGCCAUUUUUUAUAAAAAGGGACUAAAUGUGUCAUUUUACUUAAAUGAGGGCUGAAAAGGUCAAACUCAUAUUUUUGAGUCAAUUACUUUAUUAUUAAAAUAUUGGGUCAAAAAUACCAAAAUCCUAACUAGGAAUUUAGAAUGGAAAAGUAUGCAUAUACUUUCAUUAAUUUAAAUAUCGUUAUAAAACAAUCGACAAACUUCAUGCCUUUGCGAUUCAACAAUUGAUCAAUUAGACAUUCCGACAAUCAUACCAUACUCAAAAUAAGUAAACAUUUAAACUGUUGGGCUUGAAAGCUUCAAAUCAUGCCUAAUGGGCCUUCGUGACCCAUUAAACGUGGCUUUUGGGCCUAACAAUAAUAAUAUAUGUUAUUUGGGCCUCCUGUGACCUAAUUACAUGCUUAAGGGACCAUCAAUGGCAACUACAUGCUGUUGGGCCUUAGCGGCCCACUAGUAUUGCUAGUAAGGUCCAAAUAAAUCAUAUUGGUAAGUAGGCCAACGCACCCUUUGUAUACUCGACAGCCUUGGAUAACAUACACGAUUAGUGGAACCUCGCAGUUCUCUUCUCCUCGUCUGUUAGGCUUAUCUUCUAUUCAAGUAAACAAAAUCAGGACGUUAAUCAACGGUAAUCAAAUUCGUUUGGAUUAAGUGAGUAAUAAUAGGCGACACCUUUAAGUGCCGGUCGUAGUCUAUAGUUAUAAUCAAAGUCUCCUAGAGGGAGAGCGAGAGUUUGUGUAUAGAUCUAUACGGGGGUGACUCCCCCACACCUCAGCUGUUCGCUACAGUUAGACUCGGCCAGUCUAGGGUGACAAAAUCUUAAGAUCAAAUUCGGCAUUCACUAGAAUGCUAAGACAGAUGAACUAGUCAUUAUCAUGCAUGGUUAUAACGACUCACAUAAUAAAUCCAAUGUUAUCUGAGUAAUCAAGGGAAUUCAUAAUCAUUCGUUGUGACGGUAUAAUAAUUCGAAACAAUCAUAUUAUCUUAUCGAAAAACAUCAGGUUUUUCAGGGAAAUCAACACUAUUCACUUGUAUUUUCAAUAACUAUAAUGCAAAACUUCUGCUUUAUACACGCUUUGAAAUCAUUCAUGCAUAAACCUAUGGAUCUUCACACUUUUGUAUAAACAAUUGUCGUUUAAGAAAAUAUCGGAUUUUCUGGGUUUUAUAAACUGCACAAACCAUUUUCAUAUCAACGCUGCUUAUGAACUCACCAACAUUCCAUAUGUUGACGUUUUCAAAAUAACUUGUAUUCUCAAGUAACAGAUAAGCUGAAGAACAAUACCAAGUGUGUUAGGAUGUUAUGUUUUGAAAACUCUCAAACAACUUAUGCUAUGGAUAUGUAAUAUUUAGACAAUGUACUUGAUGUGAACAAGGUCAGUUGUAAUGUAUUAAUGCAUGGUGAUGUUUAUGUUAUGAUUCAUGUAUAUUCAUUGUGAUGAUAUUCAAUUUAAGUCACGCGAGCCUUCGGACGUUUUCGCCGUCUGGUUCGGGGGUGUGACAGGUUGGUAUCAGAGCUCUGUUUAUAGUGAACUGGCAUAUCUAACCACACAUUGAUAUGGAACUAUAAACCAAAGAGGGACUAAACAAAUCUGAACAAAACAAAUAAAAUAUAACGAUAAAACAUCUUUUCUUGUGCGAUAUAGGAAAAAGAACAUAAUACAAAAUCAAAUAAGAUGAUAUUGGCAUCUCGGUUAAGCUGGGACUGUUCAUAGUUGUAUUAAGGGGUGAAUGUAGCCUGAUCAACUACAUUUCCUACGGAGUACAACUAUCACAUGCCCUGGGGAAAUCGCGAUGGUCGGUAAACUUAAAAAACAUACCCCUUUGUGGCCCAGAAGAACACAUCAACUUAACCUUUUAAAUAACUGAAUAAUAAACCUUAGGAGUAAUAAUAGUUUAUUCAUAUACCUCCUCUCAGUCACCAUGGAAGGGGAGCACCAGGGCAUUCAGUUUCAUCGGGUCUUAGUUGCUCACGGAAUGAUCGAGGACGAACCUGAGGGAGAUCAGGGGGGAGCACACGGUGUUGGGCCCGACGAGUACACGGACACAGAAUACGAGUUUGAUGGGACCGAUGACGACAUUGAGGAAGAACAAGACAUAGACAAGGCCUCCGUCACACCACCUACCAACGAGACGUAGCAGAACCACCCUGCCCCACCAGGGAAUCCCGUGAGAGAGAAUCGUUCUCCGAAAGAUGAGAUUGCCGCUCUGCGGCAACAACUAUUCGCCAUGGAAGCAUGAGCGGUGCAGGAUGAACAGGAAAGAGAUGAAGUCAUUGGAUAGAUGACUGAGAUGGCCCAGUUGUUGGCACAACACUUCGGUAUAUGACCUCGCUGCCGCCGUCGGGGGCUCCGUAGAGCGUUAGGACUAGCUUUACCCUACUAGUACUAUGUUCUCUUAUGUACCAUCGACUCUAUGUUUAAGUGAUUACACUACUCGUAGAGUCGUUACGCUGCCGAACUUGUACCCUUUAUGUAUGCUCUUUCGAGCAAAUUUUCAUGUAUCAAAGUACGAAUAUUAUUAGUGGAAAAUAUAUGUGUUCUAUUGUGAUGUUGUUAUCUGUUAUGUGUUAUGUUUCCAUGAUUGUAUGUUAAUAUGUGAAACUACUUAAGUACAUGCAAUACACCUAGUUUAUAGGACCACGAACUCACAAAAGUUUUAGGCACUCAGCAUCUUCCCGUUCCAUGACAAAAAGAUGCCACAACGACCAGCCCAUGGAAACCCUGAACCGAUACCACCAGAAAUCAGCUCAGCUGCAUUUCAAGCAGCUGUAUCUGCAGCGGUCACAGCGGCACUAGCAUAGAUCCACAUUGGAAACAAUGGUGGAGGCAAUGGACAAGGGGCUGGAAGUUCGAACAACAGAAUAAAUCAAGGGCCUACCAAGACAUGCUCUUACAAAGAUUUCACCAAUGCCAAUCCACAAACCUUUAAUGGCACAGGGGGGGAUGAUAACCCUAAAGAGAUGGAUUAAAAAGGUGGAAUCGAUAUUCGAGAUAUGUGAAUGCCUCGAGGAGAUGAAAGUGAAGUUUGCUGCAUGCACAUUCGUUGACCAAGCUCUCACCUGGUGGAAUGGACAUGUAGAGGCCAUGACUCUCCCGGUAGCCAACACCAUGUCGUGGGCGGAGUUGAAAGAAAUGAUGAUGGUCGAGUACUGCCUGCGUGGCGAAAUUUAGAAAAUGGAGCAAGAGUUAUGGAACCUCACCGUCUGAAACUCCGACAUUGAUGCAUACAUAUCAAGGUUUAGCGAACUGUCAAUGUUGUGCCCUGGCAUGAUUACUUCAGAGGGAAAGAAAAUCGAACGAUUCAUUUGGGGAUUAACCUCCCCAAUUCAAGGAAAUGUGAUAGUUGCAAAUCCUGAAACCUUCGACAGUGCCAAGAGGUUAGCCAAGAAACUGUACGACCACAACAAGAAGAAGGGCGAGAAGUCAGGGAAAACUGAAGGCAAGAAGGAGAGUGACAACAAGAAAGGAAAGAAUAACAAGAGAAAGGGGCGACAAGGCUCAGAGUCGUCGAAGAAACAACAGUGACAGUCAAUGCUGCAACCACCCAAGUUCCCUCCAUACCGCAUGCUCCAGUCUCAUCUACUCCAAGUGCCCCUAGGCAGUACUCUAGGAAUUUCCCAAAGUGCAACAAGUGCAAUCUCCAUCACAAUGGCGAAUGCAGGGAGAUGCAUUGUACUAGUUGCAAUCGAAAAGGGUCACACGGAAAAUACUACAGGACCUAUCCUCCCCAGAACUAGCAGCAGGGAAACAACAACAACAACAACAACCGCAACUACAACAACAACACCAACAACAACGACAACAACGCGGGGCCAAGCCACACCUGUUAUGGAUGUUGAAAGACUGGGCAUUUCCGUCGAAACUGCCCCAAUGUCAACAACCCCGGGAAUGGAGGAGCAGGGAGAGUGCUAACCAUGGGUCAAGGAGAAGCNGGAGAAGUGGUUCAGGAUCCCGUUGUCGUCACUGGUACGUUUCUUCUAAACCACACAUAUGCAUGCAUCCUAUUUGAUACCGGGGCAGAACGAAGCUUUGUGAGUAAUAAAUUCAAGCACUUGCUAAAACAACAACCCCAAAAUCUUAAUGAAACCUUUACGGUGGAAAUGGAUAAUGGGAAAACAGAAUCCACUGGGGAAAUCUACAUAGGAUGUACCCUGACCUUAAAUCAUCACAUCUUUCAAAUAAACUUGAUGCCUAUAACUAUUAGAAUUUUUGAUGUGAUUAUCGACAUGGACUGGUUAAGCCCCCACCAUGCUGAAAUUAUGUGUCACGAGAAGGCCGUUCGCAUUCACCUACCAAAUCGUGAAACCCUAAUUAUAUGCGGAGAGAAACCCAGUAUGAACCUUCGUCUUAUCUCGUGCAUUAAGGCACAGAAGUAUCUACGAAAGAAAGACUUGAGGUUUCUAGCUCAUAUAGUGGAUAAGUCCAAGGAAGAUGUCAAUAUUCAAGACAUCCUAAUGGCUUGCGAUUUCCCAGAUGUCUUUCCUGAAGAUCUUCCGGGGAUACCCCCAGAAAGACAAGUCGAGUUCUGAGUUGACCUUGUGCAAGGAGCUACACCCAUCGCCAAAUCGCCCUAUAGGUUGGCUGUAACAUCCCAAAAUUCAAGGCCAAAAAAUUUCAUUUUUAAUUAAGUUAUUACAUAAAACCAAAGUGUGAAUAAUCAAAAAAUAAUAUUAUGAAACCAUAUCAGAGAAUAAUCCCAAGGAUCUCGUGUGCGGAAAACAUAGUGUGGCGCUGCGACNUGCGCUGCGACCAAGCCGGCUCCUUUCCUUUGGAACAAAGUACCUGAAACCAAAACUGUAAACCGUAAGCACGAAGCUUAGUGAGUUACCCCAUCAUACCACAUACCACAUAACAUCAUCGGUAUCUCUCAACCGGUAACUGCCAUCGCUAUCUUUCAACCGGUAACCGGGGCCUAUUUCACCCCUACCACUAUCACAUAAUAAUAUGUCAUAAACAUACUGAUCACAUACUAACACCAUAAACAUGCUGAUCACAUACUAACAUAUCAUAAACAUACUGAUCACAUACUAACAUAUCAUAAACAUAUAGAUAAGCAUUGCAUGGGUUCUGUAUACCCCUUCGGUAUCUUUCAACCGGUAACUGCCAUCGGUAUCUUUCAACCGAUAUCUGCCAUCGGUAUCUUUCAACUGGUAUCCGCCAUCUGUAUCUUUCAACUGGUAACCGGGGACUAUUUCACCCCUACCACUAUCAUAUAAUAUCAUGAUAUAAUCAUACAGUCAGGCAUUUCUGGGGUACUGACCUACCCUUCGAUCCUAACGACCGAGUCAGGGAAAAACUAUUUCCUUCUACUACCACAAACACACAUAUCAUAUCAUAUAAGCAUAUCACAUAAGCAUAUCUCAUAAACAUAUCACAUAAGCAUAUCACAUGAGCAUAUCUCAUAAGCAUAUCACAUAAGCAUAUCACAUGAGCAUACCAAGAUAAUUAUCACAAAGACAAUUAUCUACCAACUACCCCUGUUGGUGGGCCGGCAUUAUGGCCUUAGACCCACCCCUACUGGAAGGUAACUCACCUCACACUGCUGAAGUCCCGCAGACUCAACCCCAGCUGCUGGAUGACAGAUUCCCGAACUGUCAAUACCAAAAUAACACCCAAUUAAUAUUUAGGUUCCACUACAUAACCAUAAUACAUACUUGGAUAAUUACUACAUUACCCCAAGCUUGGCUUAUUCAAGCCCAAAGCCCAAUUCAUAGGCCCAAAGUCAACUAAGAAUCAAAGCCCAACACAUGGCCCAAUUUUCCAAAUUGGGCCCAAACCUUUAUAAGGUCCUACCAUAAGGCCCAACCAAAAGUUCAGUCCAACAUUUGACCUUCUAAUGGCCCAAUAUCAUAAAAUCAUUAAGGCCCAAAUAUGGCCCAAUUUUCCAAAUUGGACCCAAGCCCCUUACAUGGGCCUUACCCUAGUCCCAUUAAAUUACUCUUGAUCAUUUGCAUGAUCUUGGAUAACCCAUUUAAUAACCCAAUCAUCAAGGCCCAAUAGAAGGCCCAACAAUAAACCCAAGUGAAAUUAGGGUUUCACAUAAAAUGAUGAUUAGGGUUAAGUUUCCUACUUAACCCAUUAAGGACUUAAUCCAUUAAGUCCACUGUCGCUUAGAUUAAUCUUGCCAAAGAUUAUUAUUUAAUAUCCCCGGUUAUUAAUAAGUCCCGUGUCUCGAUUAAUUCCCCAAAAUUAGGGUUUUGAUAGCAUUAGGGUUUUCCAAACCCUAAUUAGGGUUUCCAACCCAAAUACUAGCCCAUUUAUUAAUUUGCUGGGCUUUUAGAUCAAUUAGGGCUUUAUUGGGCCUAUUAAGCCCACUAAAAUAUUAUUAAGCCCAUUAGGGUUUUAUUAGGUCCAUUAGAGUCCAUUAAGCUUCAUUGGGCCCAUUAGGGUUUCAAGCACCCCAAACGAAUCAACACCACGAGACAAGCACACCGCCACCCGACACGGCGGCCGGUGGCGGCAGCACUACCCUAAGGUGGUGGUUUUCAAUUUCCUUCAUUAUUCCAAUUUGCAAAUUACACAUUACAAUGCUAAACUCAAAAUAAACACACACUAACAAAAUGAACACACACAGGCGGCACAUGGCGGCAACCACCAUCUCACAGUGGUGGCAGUGGCGGCUCUUAUGAUUUCCGGCCAAACAAACCACCCCAUUUCACUAAAAUAAACACACACAAACACUCUUUUGCCUAAAACAGCAGCACAGCCACCCACCUGGUGGCAUACGAGGCAGAGAAGACGCUAGAUGGCGGCAGUUUGCGAAGGCAGCGGCGGUUAACGGCGGUAGGCAGCAGCAUACAACGAAAGGUGGCCUUCAGGAGCUCGUUUCCGGUGACAGCAAGCUAGCAGCCACACGAGUCUUGAAGCAACAUCACACAUCCACACGAACCCAACUUCACGAGGCCACAAACGCAGCCACCAUUUCACGGUGGCAGGUGGCUAAUGGAGGGCCUCGGCGAGAUGUAGCGAUCUUCUGAACGACAGCAACAAAGCAACAAGAUCCGGAAGUCACAUCGUCGACCCGUUAUCGCCGGAAGAAAGUAGUUGUGACAUUCGGCGGUGGCGGUAACAACAAUGAAACAGUGGUAAGUGGCGUCUCCCGGCUCCGUCGUCAACUGAUAUGGCAGUUGCUCCCAUCUCCUGCCGAUCCUCAAUGUUUCCGGUGAUGAGAACUAAUCUGAUGAUUCUAGGCGGUCGAAAAAGCGAACAAGGUGAAUGGUGGCGGCGCCUAAGACGAAAAGAUGAGAGUAGUGGCGGCCAACACUUCUCUUAGGGCUAGGGUUUAGAAUGUGUCAUUGCAAUAUAUAUAUACCCGAACAUUAUUACAAAUUUCCCAUAAUUACACUUUUGUUCCCUCCCCAUGGAAUCUUAUCAAAUUUAAUCCAAUAUUUACAAAUUAAACCCUGAAUAUUAAAAUCCAUUGCAACUUAGGUGCAAAAUUUACCAAUUUAACCCCUGCUUCCAUAAUUCUUCACAAAUUCAAUUCCUAAGUUACCAAACAGCACCUUAGCCCCAAAAUCUCUUCAAAUGAAGUCCCAGAAGUUACCAUUUAGUCCCUGCCUUCAUAAAUAAUUAUAAAAUGAGUCCGAAACUUAUACUUUCAAUCCCCAACUUCUGAAUUGUGCCAAUUAACUCCUCGAAACCACACCCUGCAUAUAUAAUUAUUUGUUUUAGGGCUACGAGCCAUUGAUUAAUUAAUUUAUUUAUUUAAUAAAUAAAUGGGGUUUUAUAUUGGCUCCUGCGGAGAUGCAAGAACUGUCCAACCAACUUAGCGAACUUUUGAACAAAGGAUUCAUCCGACCCAUCUUCUCACCUUGGGGAGCUCCGGUUCUCUUUGUUAAAAAAAAAGGACAGUUCCUUUAGGAUGUGUAUUGACUACAGGGAACUAAAUAAGCCCACUAUCAAAAAUCGCUAUCCACUUCCGCGAAUUGAUGAUCUAUUUGACCAGCUCCAAGGAGCAAGUUACUUCUCUAAGAUAGAUUUAUGAUCCGGAUACCACCAAGUCAAGGUCCGAGAAGAGGAUAUCCCCAAAACCGCUUUCCAAACUCAUUAUGGACAUUACGAAUUUGUUGUAAUGCCCUUCGGUCUAGCCAAUGCCCCUGCCGCAUUCAUGGACCUGAUUAAUCGAAUCUGUCGACCAUUCCUCGACAAUUUUGUCAUUGUUUUCAUCGAUGAUAUCCUAGUCUAUUCUCGAAGCGAAGAGGAGCAUGGUCGACAUCUCCGGCAAAUCUUGGAAACCCUACGAACUGAAAAGUUAUACGCAAAACUCUCUAAGUGUGAGUUCUGGCUUCGUAGUGUGAACUUUUUGGGUCAUGUUGUUAGUCAAGAAGGGAUACAUGUGGAUCCUUCUAAGAUCAAAUCCAUUGAAGGAUGGGCGAUCCCAACGACACUCACAAAAAUUCGCCAAUUUUUAGGUCUCGCAGGCUAUUACAGGAGGUUCAUUCAGAACUUCUCCAAAACAGCCUAGCCACUUACCAUGCUUACACAAAAGGGUGUACCCUUUGAAUGGACAGAUAAGCAAGAGGCUGCAUUCUGAACUUUGAAGCGAGCACUCUACAGUGUACCGAUACUAUUACUACCAGAGGGAAUAGAGGACUUCGUAGUUUACUACGAUGCUUCAAAUCAAGGUUUAGGUUGUGUGCUCAUGCAGCGUGGGAAGGUGAUAGCUUAUGCAUCCCGACAACUAAAGACACAUGAGGUGAAUUAUACCACCCAUGAUCUCGAAUUGGGAGCUGUGGUCUUCGCCUUGAAGAUUUGGAGGCACUACCUUUAUGGUACAAAGUGCACCAUUUUUAUGGACCACAAGAGUCUCCAACACAUUUUAAAUCAAAAGGAGUUAAACAUGAGGCAGUGAAGAUGGGUUAAGCUGCUAAACGAUUAUGAGUGCGAAAUCAAGUACCACCCAGGCAAGGCUAACGUGGUAGCUGAUGCCUUGAGUUGGAAAGAAUACUCAAAUCGUCGUGUAAAAACUCUUUCAAUAACCAUUCAAUCCCAUCUGUCCUCGCAAAUCAAAGCAGCCCAAUUCGAUGCUAUGAAGAUAAAAAAAACAGAACAAGUGAAGCGUUACGUGGAAUGGAAAAAAUUUCAAAGUUAAGGAGGACGGAGCAUAUUAUUUCAUGAACCAAAUUUGGAUCCAAAAACUUAGGGGAUUCGGAGAAGUAGUCAUGAAUGAAGCCCACAAGACACGAUAGUCCAUCCAUCCAGGUUUAGAUAAAAUGUACUUGGUUAUCAAGCAACAUUAUUGGUAACCUAACAUGAAGGUAGAUUUUGCCACUUACGUUAGUAAGUGUCUCACUUGUGCUAAAGUAAAGGUAGUAUAUCAGAAGCCCUCAGGAUUAUUACAACAACCAGUAAUACCUGAGUGGAAAUGGGAAAGGAUUACCAUGGACUUUGUGACCAACCUACCCAAGACAAUAGAUGGUUUGGAUACCAUAUGGGUAAUAGUCGACAGGUUGACAAAAUCCACUUAUUUCCUGCCAAUAAAAUAGUCAUACAAGAUGGAACGAUUGACUCUUAACCUAUAUCAAGGAAAUCGUGAGAUUCCAUGGAGUGCCAAUAUCUAUCAUCUCAGAUAGAGAUAGUAGGUUUACUUCACGCUUUUGGCAACCGCUUCAGAAAGCUAUGGGAACACAACUUGACAUGAACACUGCCUACCGCCCACAAACGGAUGGUCAAAGCGAGCGAACCAUUUAAACGCUUGAUGAUAUGCUUCGCACAUGUGUGAUAGACUUUGGAAGGUCGUUGGAUACCCACUUUCCUUUAAUCGAGUUCUCGUACAACAAAAGUUAUCACUCAAGCAUCAAAGUUGCUCCAUUCGAGGCAUUGUAUGGGCGUAAAUGUAGAUUACCGUUGUGUUAGGCUGAGGUAGGUGGCACUCAGCUAGCAAGAGGACAGACACCAAGCAAUGCAUUAACGGGACCAGAAAUCAUACGCGAAACGACCAAGAAGAUAAUUCAGAUCAGAGCUCGACUGCAAGCAUCACGAGACAGACAGAAGAGCUACGCUGAUAAACGACGAAAGCCCUUGGAAUCAAGUCAGGGAUCAGGUGUUUUUAAAAGUCUCUCCAUGGAAAGGGGUGAUUCGUUUUGGGAAACAGGGAAAACUAAACCCACGAUACAUUGGAUCCUUUGAGAUUCUCGCCCGAAUCGGUCUAGUGGCUUAUAGACUGCAGCUACCCGCUGAGCUCAACAGUGUACACCCCGUGUUCCAUGUUUCCAACAAAAAUCUCGUCAUCCCAUUGGAAGAAAUCGAAAUCAACGAGAAUCUCCUGUUCAUCGAGGAACCAGUUGAAAUCAUGGACAGGGAAGUGAAGCAUACUAAGCAAAGUCGCAUUCCGAUUGUGAAAGUUCGGUGGAACGCAGUACGUGGACCAGAAUUCAAGUGGGAACGCGGAGACCAGAUGAAGCAGAAGUACUCUCACCUAUUCUCGCAUUUUCAAAUCUAGAUUCAAAAAAGAAUUUCGGGACGAAAUUCCCUCUAGCGGGGGGAUGAUGUCACAACUAGGAAUUCUGAUGCUUUGUAAACCCUUAACAAGGAUAACAUUGUAACUAAAACUUGAAAGCAUGUAUGCUGCUUAUUCAAUGACAACAAAAUUCCAUCAAACACCCUAUACAAACAUUCAAAUAGUCAACAAAAGGUUGGAAACCCUAAAAAUCCCGGUUUAAGUCCAUAUGGACUAGGAUUUCCUUAUUGGGCCUAAUGGACCAAUAAGCUUCCAAUUUGACUAUUUUGGGAUCAGGACCCUCAAAUGGAUCCUAAUUCGACCCACUUUCAUAAAACUUAACCUUUUUGGGCCUUAUAAGCCUAAAACGUGCUAGUUUAUCUAAAUGGGCCUCAUUGGGCCAUAACAAAUCUAAUUAGCCCCAAUGGGCCAUAAAACUCAUUCCUUGAUGUAUAUUGAGUCGUGAAUUACUCUAAAAGGCCCAAUGGGCCGAAAACCAUCAAAUUGGGCCCAUAUUAUGGACUCAAGCACAAAAAGGCCCAAAGCAUUCUUUUCCUUAGCCCAUUCUCGGCCAACAAGUAUAAAAAAAAGGAAAUGAAUGAAAGAAUGGCUCCAUGACACCUCAUUAUUGUUUAGAGGUUAAGUAAUGGAUUAUCCCACAAACAACCAUGCAAGUCUCAUAUAUCCAUGCAAUUCUCUCUCUUCUCUCUCUUCCUUCUUUCUUCAAACCGAAGACACACAACACACACAUACACAUUUCAUCCAUCUCUUUCAAAUAAACUCUCUCUAGAGAAGUUCCUUCUUCUCCAUAAAUUUUCAAAGAUCUAAGGUCGAUCAAGGAGAUUUCCACCAAAAACUCACCCCUUCCUUGGUAAUUCCUUACACAUCUAAGUUGUAUAACUUCAUCCUUGUGUUAAGAUCAUUCAUUCUAAGCAUUUUUGUGAUCUUACUCUUAGAAACCCUCCAUAAGUUCGAGAUCAACCCAAGAAAGCUUGCUAGGGCCGAAAAUAACAUCAAACUCUUCCAUUUUUUUCUUCAAACCAAAACAACAAGCAAAGGUGAGUUCAUACCCCUUUACUUUCGGUUUUCACAAGUUUUAUGGGGGAGAAUACAAGUAAAAUGUGUAGAUCUAUGUGUAUGUGUAUGUGUAUGUUAUGUGUGAUUUCAUGUGUUUAUGUGGUAAAUAUGUGCCAAAAAGGAAAGAAAUCUCGAGAUCUAUGGCUCAAGGAGGAAAAUAUACCUGAUCUAGGAUGUAUUACAUUAAACAAGUCAAGAAAAA
rnacentral:lncRNA from 1 species